CUCCAGCUCGUGUUGUGAAAUGUUGGGUUAAGUCCCGUAACGAGCGCAACCCUUUUCCUUAUUUGCCAGCACUUCGGGUGGGAACUCUAAGGAGACUGCCGGUGACAAACCGGAGGAAGGUGGGGACGACGUCAAGUCAUCAUGGCCCUUACGAGUUGGGCUACACACGUGCUACAAUGGCCGGUACAGAGGGCCGCAAACCAGCGAUGGUAAGCUAAUCUCAGAAAACCGGUCGUAGUCCGGAUUGGAGUCUGCAACUCGACUCCAGAAGUCGGAAUCGCUGUAUC
rnacentral:rRNA from 1 species